GAUUACUAGCCCCCCUUGAUUUCUUAGUUAACCUCUUAGCAAAUAUGUACAUUUCACAUUUCUUGGGAAGACUACUACCAAUGUAUGCAUAGUUCCACACUACGACCACCAUACCUUAUUAACUCUUUUAGCACUUUACAACAUACAUAUAUGCAUACUUCCACACUAAGGCCACCCCUAUCAAACCAAUAUAUGCAUACUUCCACACUACAACCAAUAUAUACAAUUGAAAUAGUCCGAUGUUUUCCCAAAUUUUACCAUUUUGAAGAUGAACAAUAACCAAGUUCUUAUAAGAUUAUUGUUUCUCACAGCAAUGGAUUACAAGGUGGUAGCCAUGUUGAUAUGCUUUUUAUGUGCAUCCAACGAUCUCAGUUCCGUAGAUGCAUUUGGGCACAUGCGAACCAAUGAGACGUUUUAGCAUCUCCAAGAUCAGCCCCAUUUGUGUUACCCGGGAGGAACAAAAGUCAAUACAAAAGCAAAAAUGAUUACCAUCAUAUAGCUGGCUGGAGCACCACACUGAGCAGCUAUGGCGCGUGAGUUAAAAUAGGUAUAUGGGGUUCACAAGGACAACGUCAUUCCCAAGAAUCUGGGGCAUCGAUGUAUCUCUACAAUAGUGAUCAAGAUGAUUCCUCCAUCAAUUUGAUCCAAGAUGGAUUUCAUGUAAUGGAAAGAUUUCCAAAUAUUAUUUUUAAUACCAGUUCAGAUUUUAGUUG